rnacentral:rRNA from 1 species
GAUGAACGCUGGCGGCGUGCCUAAUACAUGCAAGUCGAGCGAACAGACGAGGAGCUUGCUCCUCUGACGUUAGCGGCGGACGGGUGAGUAACACGUGGAUAACCUACCUAUAAGACUGGGAUAACUUCGGGAAACCGGAGCUAAUACCGGAUAAUAUAUUGAACCGCAUGGUUCAAUAGUGAAAGACGGUUUUGCUGUCACUUAUAGAUGGAUCCGCGCCGCAUUAGCUAGUUGGUAAGGUAACGGCUUACCAAGGCGACGAUGCGUAGCCGACCUGAGAGGGUGAUCGGCCACCCUGGAACUGAGACACGCUCCAGACUCCUAAGGGAGGCAGCAGUAGGGAAUCUUCCGCAAUGGGCGAAAGCCUGACGGAGCGACGCCGCGUGAGUGAUGAAGGUCUUCGGAUCGUAAAACUCUGUUAUUAGGGAAGAACAAAUGUGUAAGUAACUAUGCACGUCUUGACGGUACCUAAUCAGAAAGCCACGGCUAACUACGUG